UCUCUUUGAUGAUAACUUUGUCCAGUUCUGCUACUGAAUGCAAGUGGUGAUGGCAAAGAAACAUGAGA
ensembl:snoRNA